AUACGGAGGGGGUUAGCGUUGUUCGGAAUUACUGGGCGUAAAGCGCACGUAGGCGGAUUGGAAAGUUGGGGGUGAAAUCCCAGGGCUCAACCCUGGAACUGCCUCCAAAACUAACAGUCUAGAGUUCGAGAGAAGUGAGUGGAAUUCCAAGUGUAGAGGUGAAAUUCGUAGAUAUUUGGAGGAACACCAGUGGCGAAGGCGGCUCACUGGCUCGAUACUGACGCUGAGGUGCGAAAGCGUGGGGAGCAAACAGGAUUAGAAACCCCAGUAGUCC
rnacentral:rRNA from 1 species